UACGUAGGGUGCGAGCGUUAAUCGGAAUUACUGGGCGUAAAGCGCGCGCAGGCGGUUACAUAAGACAGAUGUGAAAUCCCCGGGCUUAACCUGGGAACUGCGUUUGUGACUGUGUGACUAGAGUACGGCAGAGGGGGGUGGAAUUCCUGGUGUAGCAGUGAAAUGCGUAGAUAUCAGGAGGAACAUCGAUGGCGAAGGCAGCCCCCUGGGCCUGUACUGACGCUCAUGCACGAAAGCGUGGGGAGCAAACAGG
rnacentral:rRNA from 1 species